AACUUUUGUAUCUUAUAAAUUAUUUGAAAAAAAUUUUAUGACAUAAACAUGUUAGAUAUAAUUUUUAUUUUUCACAAUAAGUAUUAUUUUCUGGUGAUGAAAUAAAGUAGUUUCUUCACAUAAAGAAAAUGGUAUGGUCUUACGUCCUUCAGCUGCAUGUCAGUGUUGUUGUCUAGACAUCAGGUGAAUUUUGGGUAAGUUUGGCAGAAUCUUGUUUAGAGACGAAGAAAGGAUAGCAGAUGCUGUCAAUCCUGACCUCCGUGCAUUCCAACGAGCAUAUCUUGAGCUAUAGAGGUCCAAUUGACGUGGUCUCAACGGCGUUAGAAAGCUGACUUCCAGAAUGACUGCCAAAACUAGCGUUAAACACCAAGUCUGGGUGUUUAACACCCAAGAAGGACUGACUUCUCAAGUUGAACGCCCAAAACUGGCGUUCAACGCUAGCCAGGGAGCAGGACCAGUGAAGUUCAACACCCAGAACCCAAGUUGAAUGCCAGUCUUCAGCCCGAAUCACUCCUAGUAGGCCCCAAAGUGGAUUUUAGCACUCCUUAGUUUAUUUUGUUUUCUUUUUAUAAAUUUUAAUUAAAAAUAAUAUCUUUUAAGUUUGGUUUUAGAGGUUUUUACUAUAAACAAGAGACCUCCUUCCUCCUAAGGAUCACGCCUCCCAGGAGGGGAGACAAAUCUAGAAAGAUUUUCUUAUUAUUUUGUUUUCUCUGUAAAGCAUGGGUCACUAAACCUCCUAGUUAAGGUUAGGAGCUCUGCUUAUUUCUAUGGAUUAAUAUUAUUACUUUUCUAUUCUAAUA